AUUCUUUCUAGUCUAACCUUCCGGUUAGGCUACUUUGUUACGACUUAUCCCUUAAGGGAGUGACGGGCAAUAUGUACAUAAAUCUAAAUUUAUUCAAACUAAUAAAUUAAUUAACUUUACUUUCAAAUCCUAUAUAAAUAAAUUCAUAUAAGAAUAUACUCUAUAUAAAUUAAUAACUAUAGUAACCCAUAAAAACUUAAUAAAAACUACACCUUGACCUAAUAUUGAAAUCAACCAAUUUAAAGAAAAUAAUUCUUAUAAAAUAAUCCUUCUAUAGAGAUAUAUAGGUAAAUAUAAAGUAUAAACUAUUGUGGUUUAUCAAUCAAUUUACAGGUUCCUCUGAAAAAUAUAAUUUACCGCCAAAUCAUUUGAGUUAUGAAGAAUAGAACUACUUUUAUUCAAGUUAAGCAAUUUAAUACUUAAUAAUAGGGUAUCUAAUCCUAGUCUACAAAAAAAAUCUUAAUAUACCUAUAGAAUAGAAAAAUAUAUUAAAUAUAAAUUUCACCUAAAUAUCAAAUUUCAAUAUUCAGAAUAUUUAUAAAAAUCUAAACUUAAAGAAUUAAUAUAAAUUUAAUGUAUAACCGCGACUGCUGGCACAAUAUUAAUCAAUUAUAAACUAAAUUACUUCUUUAACGUUAUAUAAAUCAGAAAUAUCAUAGACUGUUUAAUAUGAUUUUAAAAAUAUUAACAUAUAAAUUAUUUAUUGAACUAAUCCUAAAGCCAUAAUUAAACUUAAU
rnacentral:rRNA from 1 species